GUACUAAUUUGUGCCAAAGGUUAGCGCGUACGACUGUUAAUCGUGAGGUUGAGAGUUCGAUCCUCUCCCUGGACG